rnacentral:ncRNA from 1 species
AUCGGGUCUGUGGUUGAAAGCCGAUGCCAGUCGCAGGCAAAGCGGUCCACGUAAGCCAGAAAAAAUUCCGGUGAGCAUGGUGCGGUCUAGAAGUAAGCCCGGCCGCGCGUUCGCGCGCGAGAGGAUGGCGUGAGGGCGUAGAACACGCAGAGCUAUAUCCCAGCCGGCGAGUGUGGGGUCAAAAACCAGGUCAGCCGCA